UACGAAGGGGGCUAGCGUUGCUCGGAAUCACUGGGCGUAAAGCGCACGUAGGCGGAUUGUUAAGUCAGGGGUGAAAUCCUGGAGCUCAACUCCAGAACUGCCUUUGAUACUGAGAGGCUUGAGUCCGGGAGAGGUGAGUGGAACUGCGAGUGUAGAGGUGAAAUUCGUAGAUAUUCGCAAGAACACCAGUGGCGAAGGCGGCUCACUGGCCCGGUUACUGACGCUGAGGUGCGAAAGCGAUGGGGAGCAA
rnacentral:rRNA from 1 species